CAGUACAGUGCUAUUUAGCUUUACAGCGCUACUUAGCAUUACAGUGCUAUUUAGCUUUAAAGUGCUAUUUAGCAGUACAGUGCUAUUUAGCAUUACAGCGCUAUUUAGCUUUACAGCGCUACUUAGCAUUACAGUGCUAUUUAGCAUUACAGCGCUAAACCGGCUGACACUUUGGACUCAUACAGAAGUAGGUUAUGCAUCUGUUCUUUACGCAGAACUUUCUCUGUCUCUUUCUGAGGGCUCCCUUUUCCCUUUGUGAUUGAGACAUGAAAACCGCUAAGACUCAGCUUUUUCCAUUUCAAAAUAAAAGCUACUGUUCAUAUAUUUUCUACAAAAGUAAUUCAUGUCGUGAUGGAACACACAGACUCUGUGACCCAUUCAGAAUGAUUCCCGCCAGUUGAGAAACACUGCUCUAAUGCCUGAUGCAUGGCUUGGGUCUCAUGUACACACCCAAGGACAGGAAAUAGUUAAAUGGUUUGUGAAAUAAACUCUUAAAUUAUUUACUGCAGUGCUCCACUGUACCUUCUAUUCAGGUUUUUUGAGGGUGGCGGGAGGUUGGCCGGGUUACGGGGCAAUGAUGUCAUCUCAGAGGAGAAAUACAUACAGUCAGGGCUUUGAUUUAGCAGCGAAAAAUCUACAUUUAAGAUCUAGUGACUAAAUCUUCAGAUUGAACUCCUCCCUUACACCCUGUAGUUCAGCUUGCUCUGCUUCACUCCUGCUAGUCCUCCUCGACCGCUCAGCUUCAGCUGCAUACACCACAUCAACCACAAGAAAACAUAACCACCUCAAGCUUUUUUUUCAAGCUCUUUUCUCUUUGUAUAUAUCUUGCUUAUCAAAGCCAUUCAUGUAUUCUUGCUGUAAAGAACAGAACCCUAACACACACCUGCCAGAAAUCAAAGCUGUAUUCAUCCCCAGUGUUCUACUGAAUGCAUAGAAUGUUCUGGAGAGACAGGGAGGUUAGCGGACGACUGCGGUUGGUUACUCUUACGACUGUUGUUCCUCUAAAUGAUCGUCUUUUAUAGAGUUGUGAGUGCUUCAGGAUGGGUGAUGGGGAGGGGUGUAAGGUUCAUAGUACAUUUAAGAACUAGACCUUUUUCAAACUUUGUUUUGUUUGUUUGUGCAUUUUUUUUAUACCCAGUUUGACCCCAAUAUUUGACCUAAAUGCAUACAGUAACUUUACUGGUACCUAACCUUAAUGGUGGAUGUCAACGGAUUUCUCUGAACCCUUAAGAAAUUGCAUCUUUAUUGUGAUUGAAUCCAUUGUAACAUUCCUCACUGGCCAUAGGGAAAUGCUCCUGGUUGAUGUCACCAUUUGGUCCAGGGGUUUACCGAAGUAUUCUUCAACUCUCCAUGGCUGUUCAUUAGCUGUAGUUAUAGUUUCAAACUGUCAGCACAGCUUCAGGUACCAUGGGGUUGAGGGUGGGUGGGAGUCGUGUCUAUGUCACCCAGGUUAGCAGCUGAGUGUGGCCCAUACCUGUGUCAGGCCUGUUCCAGGGUCAGUUGGAAUUUGGGUUUAAUCACCUCCUGUCCCCUCAGGGCCUGACCUUUAAUCAGGUCUGCUUGGGCCCAUUAUCCUGCCAUGUCACGUUUCUGAGAUUGAUACAUUCCGGAAUCAGCAACAGAGGUGUAUUCCGGAAUCAGCAACAGAGAUAUAUUCCAGAAUCAGUACCAAAGGUAUAUUCCAGAAUCAUUCCCACAUAGAAUUCCUCAGGGAAUGUUCAGCACUGGGUUGCACUAGUUGAACGUAAGUUCCAUCUUUGCCUCGUUGAACGUAAAUAGGGACUAUGUUUGCGUUGAUAAACUACUCAAAUUGAAUGGGUUCCACCACACAAAUAGUUUUAUAACUUAGUUUUUGUGCCUCCUCAUCCUGAGGUGUUCGAUCCAUCAUAAAUAAGUUGUUAACAUGGCUACCUGAUUGAAACGGUAGGAAGAUUAAAACCAAUGGGAUAUGCCUCUGGAAGAGUUUAAUGUUGGACCGGUUACACAACUUAGUUUCACCUGCACAGUGUUUAAACCCUGUUUGAAUUCCUUGAAAACCGCAAUGACCUAUCACAAAUUUCAUUCAUGUUCCUAGUGUUUGCCAUUUACCACCCAGCUUACCGCCGCUAAUGGGGUGGUUGAAAUACCCAAAACACGAAGAUAGCUUUAAUAAAAAAAAAUCAGAUGCUGUUUUAUUCCACAAAAUAAAACAACUGAUGUGAAAGGGCGUUACUGAGGUUAAAUCCCAACAUACACUAUCAACAUGCAAAGGAUGAGGAGCUACGAGAUGCUUCUGAAUCAGAAGUUCUGAUCAUAGAAAGGUAAACGUCUAAUCAUAGCUCAUAAACAUAUCAAUAUCUAUGCUUCCGAUAUCAUCAGACAGCGAGGUAUUGAUUAGCUGUCCAUGUUGAAAAACGUCAUUCUGUGCGACAAUAUUUUGUUUUUGGAGCUUCUAACUAUGAUGUUACUUAACUAGCAGUGCUGCUAACUAUGAUGUAACUUAACUAGCAGUUAAGUUAACUGAAAAAGAAACCCAAACUAAGGUUUAUACCCAAACUUACCAUCGAACUUACGCUCAACUGGUGCAACGGACUGCAGAAAUCAAUCUCUUAUAGAGUUCCGUGGAUGAAUGUUCCAACAACAUUCAUUUGUAGAUUAACACAAAACAGAAAAAGUGUGUUGGAGUAGAAAUUCUAAAAUGUACUCUCUAAAAUGUAAAUUCUAAAAUUCUAGGCCUGCUUAAACCUUGGUUGUUACAAUUGAAAUGAAAUAGUGAUUUCCAUCAUAUGCAAACAGUGCAGGGGCAUUCAUUGGUUUGGGUCACGAUCAGUCGCAACAGGCCUGGAAUGGGUUCUGCGCAGAGUUCAGAAUGGGUUCUGCGCUGAAGGGAUCCGGAGGUGUCGGCUCCCAGGGAUUAUGUGGGUGGGGGUUUUGCGCUACAAAGAUUGUGUUUGACUUCUGGUUUCUUAGCACAAAUACUCACAACAGAAAUACAGAAAGCUGUGCAAAAAAUGCAAACGCAGAAGAGACAUGGGUGAGAUUAUGGGAUUGUCUCUAAAAAAAAUGGUUGCCAUGACAGCCUCAAUUGGUGGCCAAUCAUUGUCAUUGUAUGUGAGACAGGGUGAGACAAUGGUGUCAAAAGUGGAGUUGAGCCAAACCUUUGCUUCUGUGUACUAUUAAGGUUACUUAUCUUCUGUGUACUAUUAAGGUUACAUAUCUUCUGUGUACUAGCAAGGUUACAUAUCUUCUGUGUACUAGCAAGGUAACUUAUCUUCUGUGUACUAGCAAGGUUACUUAUCUUCCAGAAGGACACUCCUAGGGAACAUGGCUCAGUCAACACCCUCCAAAACACACUGCUUUGACAAAUCCGUGUUUUUAAAGGUUUGAAUUAAUUUAUGAUUCUCUAUUUAUUUAUUUAUUUAUUUAUUUAUUCAGUUAUUUAUUGGAAUGAACUCUGAUUUAUUUAUAACUGUAUAAAGUCUUUGUUUAUUUCUUGCUAUUCUAUGUUAAUGAUUCUGACAUGAAGAUGUAUAUAUAAAAUGCAGAACAGGUUUUUUUUUCUCUCUUUCUCCUUUUUUCAAUUUUACAAUAAAUAUUGAAAUGCUUUUCGAUUCGGA
ensembl:lncRNA